rnacentral:rRNA from 1 species
GUGCAUGGUCGUCGUCAGCUCGUGCCGUGAGGUGUUGGGUUAAGUCCCGCAACGAGCGCAACCCCCGCCGUUAGUUGCCAGCGGUUCGGCCGGGCACUCUAACGGGACUGCCCGCGAAAAGCGGGAGGAAGGAGGGGACGACGUCUGGUCAGCAUGGCCCUUACGGCCUGGGCGACACACGUGCUACAAUGCCCACUACAAAGCGAUGCCACCCGGCAACGGGGAGCUAAUCGCAAAAAGGUGGGCCCAGUUCGGAUUGGGGUCUGCAACCCGACCCCAUGAAGCCGGAAUCGCUAGUAAUCGCGGAUCAGCCAUGCCGCGGUGAAUACGUUCCCGGGCCUU